rnacentral:rRNA from 1 species
UACAGAGGUCUCAAGCGUUGUUCGGAUUCAUUGGGCGUAAAGGGUGCGUAGGCGGCGCGGUAAGUCGGGUGUGAAAUCUCGGGCUUAACUCCGAAACUGCAUUCGAUACUGCCGUGCUUGAGGACUGGAGAGGAGACUGGAAUUUACGGUGUAGCGGUGAAAUGCGUAGAUAUCGUAAGGAAGAUCAGUGGCGAAGGCGGGUCUCUGGACAGUUCCUGACGCUGAGGCACGAAGGUCAGGGGAGCAAACGGG